rnacentral:tRNA from 1 species
UUAAUAAGAGCUGUAUAAGCGUUUUCAUUGUUAAUGAAAUGAAGGAAGUUUAAAUUGAU